rnacentral:lncRNA from 1 species
AUGGGAGGGCAGGCCGAGUGGAGCCCAGCUGGAGGUGGGGUGGAGGUCAGAAGGGAGAGAAGCUGGACUCCUCUGAGGGCCAAUUCCAUUGGACCAUGGCUUCAGUUUCUCCCCCGCCCUGAGGGUCCCGUGUCUCCAGCCCAGAGCCUGCUUCUGAACUUCAGACCAGUGUGUCCACCUUCCCGCCUGCUCUACCUUUCAGUGCCUCAGCCUGUUCUUGAGAGCAACGGAGGCGCCGAUAUGCUCCACCUCAUGCCUGACACAUGGACGCGCCCAACCUACUCUCCACCCUUCUCGGCUGCCUGGGAACCUGAUGUACAUGGACCAUACCAACAGGCUCCCCUAGCCUCUGGCUUCCUGUGAGAUUGGCUGAUGGAAAGACCCUGCAAUGAAUCAGAAGGCACGAGUCCUUACUGAGGAUCACAGCUUCUACAGGUGACUCUCUGCGGCCGAGUUCCCUUGCACUCUUCACACUGGGGUGGAAAUGCUAAUGUCUCCCCCAGGUUGCUAGCUUGAGGGAAUCAUACGCAGUAUGCCCUGUGACUUCCCUAAACCCCACUCAUAUCUUUGUAAAACAUUGCUUUAAUAGAUUCUUUCCAAAUUCCUCAAUGCUGGUAUGACAUCCAUUUUCCAUCAGGAUCCCAACACUCCCUUAUAGGGCAAGAUAAGGAUUUUCAAUUUUAUUCUGAGAUGGGAAACCACUGGGGGUUUUGGAACCUAUGAGACAUCAUGUGACUUGCAUUUUAUUUUUUAAUAAAAUAAAAUGUGAGUGGUAUGGCGGGGGGUAGGGGAGAUGGAGAGAAAGAAUCUUAAGCGGGACUCCAUACUCAGCACGGAGCCUGAUGGAGGCUCACAUCUCCUGACCCUGCGCCAAAAUCAAGAGGGGGACGCUUGGGGGAAAAAAAAAAGAGCUGGAUGCUUAACUGACUAAGCCACCCAGGCUCCCAAACAACUUAAAUUGUAAAAGGUCACUUUAGAUGCUGGAUGUAGAAAAUGCCUCAGUGGGGUCACAAGUGGGAAGAGAACAGGCAGCUUUUUGAGUAGGAAGGGUAGAAAGUGACUUGGGCUAGGGUGGUUGUAGUAAAAGUCCUAGGUGUUUAAAUGUAGGCAUAGGGAUGCCUGGGUAGCUCAGUGGGCUAAAGCCUCUGCCUUCAGCCCAGGUCAUGAUCUCAGGGUCCUGGGAGCGAGCCCUGCAUCGGGCUCUCUGCUCAGCAAGGAGCCUGCUUCCCCCUCUCUCUCUGCCUGCCUCUCUGCCUACUUGUGCUGUCAAAUAAAUUUAAAAAAAGAAAUCUUUAAAAAAAUAAUAAAUGUAGGCAUAUACUGUAAAGGUAAAGGUAGAGCUAAGAGGACUUGGUGAUCAAGUAUAUGCGGCAUUAAGAGUGAAAAGUCAAAGACUUAGGUGUUUGGUCUGAGGAUAAAUUGCCAUUUACUGAGUUGGAGAUGUGUGGGGAGAGAGCAGGUUUGGCCUGCAAAAAUCAAGAGCUCUGUUUGGGAUUAAAAAAAAAAUGUCAGGAAUUUAUUAGAGAUCUAAGUGGGGAUGUUGACUAGGCAGAUGCACACUAAGGCUGGAGUUCAGACUGCAAAAGGGAAAAGGUUUUUAGUUGUCUUGUAAAAUGAUAUUUCUAAAACCACACAUAUUCAAAACUUUGAUUAAUAAAUACGGUGGGGACCCCUGGCUGACUCAGUAGAGCCCGUAACUUAAUCUCAGGGAUCCUUGUGAGUUUGAGCCCCAUGCUGGGCAUAGAAUUUACUUAAAAAACAAAACAAAAACAAAAACCAGCUGUCGCUUGAGGGAAAGAUGAUUUUCAAGUUGCUUUUUUUUUUUUUUUCUUAAACUCUAUCCUCAACACGGAGCUCAAACUCAUGAGGACGCUGAGGUCAAGAACUGCAUGCUCUACUGACUGACCAGCCAAGCAUCCCCAAAAAAAGAUUUUUAGAUGAAGAGAACAGUUGUUGAAGGAAGCCUUCAAACCCUAGCUGCUCACAUAUGGGUAGAUUUGGACAAAUAGUAUGCACAUGCUGAUUCCAACUGUGUCAGAGAAGAUGUUACAAAGAAACAACAUAUGGAAAUUUCUGUUUAAAAAGGAAGAAUAAAUGUCUAAGUCUGAAAGACAGAUGAAGACCAAAGAGAAAGAGAAGCAGGAAAAAAACAAUUUAAUUAGACUGAUCCAUUUUUAAAAAAAUAAGAAAAAUCAUUAGGCACAGUACCAAUAAAAUUCCUAAACUUCUAAACAAGAUGAAAAGACAAGAGGGAAAAAUAUUUGUAGCACAUGAUAAAGCGUUAGGAAUUACAAUGUUCCAAAAGAGACAAACUAGAAUAAGGCAUGAACAGGCAGUUCCCAAAAAGGAGACGUAAGAUACUCAUUAAUCUAAUGAGUAAAACGGAAUAAGGUAUAAACAAGUAUCAUUCUCAUUCCUUCAAAACCAAUUUUGAAAGGAGGUGAAAUGACAUUCUCAUGCACUUUUUGAGCACUUUACCAGACUUCUGAAAUGCAGUUUUGCAAAAUAUACAAAAUAUAAAAGACACAUGCCAAAGUUCCCAUUGAGUUUUAUCCUGAGACAACUACAAGGCAAGUUACAGUAGGUGACACCUAUGGAAUGCCAAAACCAGAACAUAACCAGUAAAAAAUAAUGGGAUGAUGUGUAUAGUAUGAUGCCCAUGUACCAAGUGUCUUUGUGAUUAUCUGAACAGGUAUUAUCUGGAAGAAUGUUCACCAAAUAAGUUAAGUUUCUCUCUGGAUGACUGACAACUACCCCAUGAGAAGCACCUCAUGCAAUCCUCAAGAUAAUUUAGAUUCUUGAGAUUUCACCCCCACAACCUACAAGUGGCUGUUGCUAAAAACCCAUUUGACCCCCUCUGCCCACCAUUUACAAGGACUGCAUGUUUUGGCAUUUUAUUUACUAUCAAGUAUACUUAAAAAAAAACUAUUUUUAAGAUUUUAUUUGACAGGCAGAGAUCACAAGUAGGCAGAGAGGCAGGCAGGGCAGUGGGGAAGCAGACUCCCUGCUGAGCAGAGCCCAAUGUGGGACUUGAUCCCAGGACCCCGAGAUCAUGACCUGAGCCAAAAGCAGAGGCUUAACCCACUGAGCCACCCAGGCGCCCCAAGUAUACUAAAACUUUUAAGGCACUAAAACACCUCCCACCUGUAGUCAUAUUUAAUAUUUGCAGUAAUUCUCUUGGCUUGAUGGCAAGAAUCACAAAUACACAAAUGCUUUUUAAAGUAGGCUCCAUGCCUAGUGUGGAGCCGGAAGCAGGGCUUGCUUAAACUCAUGACCCUGAAUCAAGACUGAGCAGAGAUCAAGUCGGGACUCAACUGACUGAACCACCCAGGCGCCCCCGAGAUAUUUCCUUUAAUUAAAAAUAAACCUAGAUAUGCUUUGAAACUUUGAAUAUGAAACCUUGAACUAGAUAUGCUUUGAAAUGUUCUGCCAACUAUUAACUUUUUGGUCCAGAACCAUCAAUACCCAACAUCUGCAUAGCUACUGAGGGAUUACAAAGGACUGUGCCAGGUGUUUUGACUUAUUCAUCACUCUGUUUGCGCCUUAUUGGUCAGUUUAUCUUUAUUUAUUUUUUUUAAAGGUUUUAUUUAUUUGACAGAGAUCACAAAUAGGUAGAGAAGCAGGCAGAGACAGAGAGGUAGAAGCAGGCGCCCCGCUGAGUAGAGAGCCCAAUGCGGGGCUCCAUCCCAGGACCUUGAGAUCAUGAUCUGAGCAGAGGCUUAACCCACUGGGUGAGCCACCCAGGUGCCCUAUUAGUCAGUUUAAUUCCUGGUUUAUAAUGUUUAACCACUUUUUUUUUUUUUAAGAUUUUAUUGAUUUAUUUGACAGAUCACAAGUAGACAGAGAGGCAAGCAGAGAGAGAGCAGGGGAAGCAGACUCCCUGCUGAGCAGAAAGCCUGAUGUGGAACUCGAUCCCAGAACCCCGGGAUCAGGACCUGAGCCGAAGGCAGAGGCUUAACCCACUGAGCCACCCGGCACCCCAAUGUUUAACCACUUUUAAGACAUGAACACAAACACAAGAGAUUUAAAAAUGGACUGUUUCCCAUUAUUUGUGAGCCUAUUAGUAAGGGGGACUGAGUCAGCUUGCAUACCCAGCACAGAACACAGUACUGGGCAGGUGAGUAAAGAAGUGCCCUAAGGAACAACGUAAGUCACUUGGUGCCUGUACCCUCAGAGCACAGCACUCAAAAGGUCAUCAAUGAUAGCCAAUACUGGUCUCUAAAAAAUGGACUUUGCCCAACAGUGUGAUUUCAAACACAACUUAGAUUACUUAGGGUAAAACUUAAGUUGAUCUUAGGGUCCUGGGACCAAGCCCCGCAUCAGGCUCUCUGCUCAGUGGGGAGCCUUCUUCCCCCUCUCUCUCUGCCUGUGAUCUGUCAAAUAAAGAAAAAUCUUUGGGAAAAAAACCAGCUUAUUGGGGUACCUGGGUGGCUCAGUGGGUUAAAGUCUCGGCCUUCAGCUCAGCUCAUGAUCCCAGAGUCCUGGGAUCGAGCCCCUUAUCCAGCUCUAGGCUCAGCAGGGAGCCUGCUUCCUCCUCUCUCUCUGCCUGCCUCUCUGCCUACUUGUGAUCUCUGGAUGUAAAACAAAUAAAUAAAAUCUUAAAAAAAAAAAAAGCUGAUUAGUUUACUGUCUUACAGUCUCCAACUCACCAACUUGCCUCUUUUAGGAAAANNNNNNNNNNNNNNNNNNNNNNNNNNNNNNNNNNNNNNNNNNNNNNNNNNNNNNNNNNNN